rnacentral:rRNA from 1 species
UUGCUCCCUGAUGUUAGCGGCGGACGGGUGAGUAACACGUGGGUAACCUGCCUGUAAGACUGGGAUAACUCCGGGAAACCGGGGCUAAUACCGGAUGGUUGUUUGAACCGCAUGGUUCAGACAUAAAAGGUGGCUUCGGCUACCACUUACAGAUGGACCCGCGGCGCAUUAGCUAGUUGGUGAGGUAACGGCUCACCAAGGCGACGAUGCGUAGCCGACCUGAGAGGGUGAUCGGCCACACUGGGACUGAGACACGGCCCAGACUCCUACGGGAGGCAGCAGUAGGGAAUCUUCCGCAAUGGACGAAAGUCUGACGGAGCAACGCCGCGUGAGUGAUGAAGGUUUUCGGAUCGUAAAGCUCUGUUGUUAGGGAAGAACAAGUGCCGUUCAAAUAGGGCGGCACCUUGACGGUACCUAACCAGAAAGCCACGGCUAACUACGUGCCAGCAGCCGCGGUAAUACGUAGGUGGCAAGCGUUGUCCGGAAUUAUUGGGCGUAAAGGGCUCGCAGGCGGUUUCUUAAGUCUGAUGUGAAAGCCCCCGGCUCAACCGGGGAGGGUCAUUGGAAAACUGGGGAACUUGAGUGC